UAGCCCUCACAUUUUCACUUUUUGACAAUUUAGUCCCUAAUUCAUAAAACCACAAAAUACACUAAAUUUCUUUAAACAUAUGCUUGGCUGAAUAUUCCUAUAGCUCAUAGAAGCCCCCAUAUUUCAUUUAUUUUACAUUUUUGUCCCUCAAAAACUCAUUUUCACGAUUUAGUAUAUUUUACUUAAAUUCAUCUAAAAUUCAAAGACAAAAUAUACUAACCCAAAACAUAUAUUUCAU
rnacentral:lncRNA from 1 species